AUGCGGCCUCCUCUGCUUCCUCUUGUGCCCGCAGCAACACCCAAGCUCCCGUGCCUCCCGUUCGUCCUCCUCGAAGACCAACAGAGCCCGAGUCCUGCAGCUGCCAUCGGCCGCGAGCACCCGAGGCCCCGUCCUCCCGAGCACACCUGCGGGUUCAGGUCCGAACCCCGCCGUCCUCGUCUUCUCGCGCGGCCAACCGCCUUGACAGCGACCUCCAGGACCACCGCCGCGCCCUGCUUCUUCCUCCUCCUCGAGGAGAUGCCCCUCGCCUCGAGCACCAGCGCUACAAGGCCUGCCUUCUGCAGUUCGUCGUCGCCGGAGUUCCCCACCAGCAGCAGGUUGCCGCACCUCUUCUCCGUCCACUCCUUCCUAUCUCCCUCUCACCGGACUCCCUCUGUCUCCUCUGUAACAGAGCCGUCGCCUGAGAGGCUCCUCGUCUGUCGCCACCUUCAACCAACGCCGGCCAAGACCUUGUCCACUCCUCGAACCGCGCAGGAUUUCUGCACCGCGUGCGUUUGCCAUCCGUCGCCGUCAAAUACCAGCGCCGCCGUGCUUCUGCCGUCCGCGUCGGCGAGUGCAGCGCCCAGCCGCGCCGACCUCCUUCAUCUCGUCCCAGCGCUGGACCUGGAGCCCGCGACUCCCGCCGGACCUCCGCCUCGCCCUGUUCGUCCGCUGCCUCCCGAAGGCCAUGGAGCCUCGCUGCCGACGCUCGCCCUUGCUGUUGUUCGUCCCCGCCGUUCGGCCACUGGAUCCGGUCGUCCUCCGUCAACUUCCGCCGGAUCCACGCUCAGCCAUCACCUCGCCUCGCCGGAGAUACCCCAAGUCCACCGCCGCCUUGCCAUGUCCCGCGCCAAGCCAGCGCGGCACCGUCCCCUACUUCUGUCGUGCGAGCACAUGAGGACGAGGCCAGCGCCAAGUCCCGCUCGCCCCACCCGCGCCCGUUGA
rnacentral:rRNA from 1 species